AACUUCAUUACUGAGGCACACUAGCAGGAUCCAAAGCAGCAAUGACUUCUCCACUGCUCCCCAUCUUUCUCUUUCUCACAUUAUACAGUCAAGACUCCAAUUGUGAGAUUACGGUAAUUCAGACUCCAGCGGCAAAAUCAGUCUCUGUAGGAGACAACGUGGCCUUUACAUGUACAACCAGCACUGAUGUGAGUACGCUGUUAGACUGGUACCACCAGAGACCUGGAGAAGCUCCAAAGCUCCUGAUCUAUUUUGGAGAUCAACUUGCAGAUGACAUCCCAAGUCGCUUCAGUGGCAGCGGAUCAGAUACUGAAUACACACUGACUAUCACUGGAGUCCAGGCUGAGGAUGCAGGACAUUACUACUGUCUACAGCAUGAUGAGUUUCCUCUCACACAGUGACAGAGAGCCGUACAAAAACCUCUCUUAACAUCUGAACAGCUUGCAGGUGCUUUACAAAUAUACCAGAGUGACACUCAUUUAAAACUUUUCUUCUAUAUGAUGUUAGUGUUAGCUACAUGGCUAUUUACUCAAUUUAAACAGUUUGACUUUUCAUUUUUAUAGUGGGAUUAUGCUUCUAAAAACCUGAUACUUAAAGCUGCAUCCUAUAGUAUUACAUAGUUUGAUUUAAAUCACAUUCACAAUUACAUAAGGUGUGGCACGGUGUUUAUUGUUAAAGUCUUACUGCCUCUAGACUGUGGGUUCAUAACGUUUCCCUGAGUACACGUAACUUUUUCUCCAGAUACUCUGUUUUUUCUCCAACAUCCCACAGAUGUGUCUGGUAAGUCAU